rnacentral:rRNA from 1 species
UCAUUACUGAGAGAGGGGCUUCGCGCUCCCGGGGAUCUCGGCCCCCAACUCUUCACCCUGUGUGUACCUACCUUUGUUGCUUUGGCGGACCUUGGGGGUCCCCUCCGCACCGGCUUUCGAGUCGGUGAGUGUCCGUCAGAGUCCUAUUUAAAUUCUGUUUAUCAGUGCCGUCCGAGUAUAAACUAUAAAUUAAGUAAAAACUUUCAACAACGGAUCUCUUGGUUCCAGCAUCGAUGAAGAACGCAGCGAAAUGCGAUAAGUAAUGUGAAUUGCAGAAUUCAGUGAAUCAUCGAAUCUUUGAACGCACAUUGCGCCCCUCGGUAUUCCGGGGGGCAUGCCUGUUCGAGCGUCAUUACACCCCUCAAGCUUAGCUUGGUAUUGGGUACUCGUCCCCGUGGCGUGCCCGAAAAGCAGUGGCGGUCCGGCGUGACUUUAAGCGUAGUAAAUAUCAAUCCCGCUUUGAAAGCUUGCGUCGUGGCUCGCCAGACAACCCUACGUAUAAUCACGUAUCUUCAAUAAUUGACCUCGGAUCAGGUAGGGAUACCCGCUGAA